UCCGGCCCGGAGCUUUGAGCCACGCCCCCUCCCCGCACGCAGGCGCAGCAACGCGCACGCUUGGCCCCACCCCUCGCCGGUGUUCUCACUCAGGCCCCACCCUCCCCUCCAGCGGUCGGGUGCUGAGGGCUGCGGAGUCUAAACGCAGUUGUGGGGAGUGGGAGCCGCUCCCACCCUGUGGGCGGUCUUCCGUGGACCAGGUACCUGGAGGCGUGGUUGCCCCGCAGAAACAGUAAGAGCCCCAUUUGCUUAUGUUGACCGAAGAACUGCGCCAAGAACCUCACAUGAGAUUCUUGGAACAACUUGGAACCUCCUAGAACAGUGACUUUCAAAGCGUCCCAACCAGCAACCUCAUCACCUGGGCACUGGUUAAAAAUGCGUGUUAUGGGGCCCCACCACAGACUUGCUGAAUCAGAAACUCUAGGAGUGGCUCCCAGGUGAUUUCCUGCAGUUAAGUUUGAGAAUCACCGCUACAGAAAGUGGCCAAGGAGACCAGGACACUGACUAGAGACUUCACUCUUCAUAAUGUCAGGCUUUAUACUGAUGCUUCAACCUUCUCUGUCAAGUGGGAUCCUUCAACCUUUGGAGCAAGUGGGGCCUAUACUGGACUCAUUCACUGCACAUGGGGCUGCACUGGUCCCUUGCAGCUACAGCCUAUAAGCCCAACCAGAGAAGAGGAAGUUUUCAGGCCCUUUCGUUAGUUCCUUCUGCCCUGUCACAGUCUUCUUUUACCUUAUAUCCACACUGAUAAACUUUCCCUAAUUGUUAAAGAAAUAAAUAUAUUUGCAGA